GGGUGGCGUGCCAUGUCGGCGGGUCAGGUUCAUGCGAAGGUCGGGCCGCCUCG
rnacentral:ncRNA from 2 species